UUGUUUCAAUUAGUUAAUGCAUAAAUCGAAACUUAUCAUUUAAAAUGUACCUUAUAAAAUCAAAUUUUGUUAAGAUGGAAUAUGGACAAGUUUUACUUUUCUUUAUAUCGAUGUCUGGAUUAAACGCGUAUACACCAAUUGGAUAUCUUGGAUGUUUCGAUGACUCGUCAGUACAAAACCCAAACCUUGAUAUUAAAUUGUCUACUUCUAAUACGAACAGUGGCGAAGAGUGUAUGCAGCGUUGCAGCACCAAAGGAUACAGAUAUGCAGGAACCAAAAUUGCCCGGCAGUGUCAUUGUGGUACAAGGAUCAAGAAUAACCAGCAAACAUCUGGGUGUGUUGUUGAAUGCACCGGCAGGAUUGAUGAAUAUUGCGGUGGACCUUUGCAGAUUUCUAUCUACGACACAUGGCAGUGUGUUAGAAAGCCGUGUCAAAAUAAUGCCAGCUGUAACGACAUUGAUUCACGUACUUACACUUGUAGCUGUAUAGAUGGAUGGCAAGGAGAAAACUGUACUCAGGACGUUCAAAAACCUCCCGCGUCUUCAACCUCAGUAGCAACUUCAAUAAGGCAAACAGAUAAAGAGAUUUCAAAAUCUUCAGUGUUUUAUACAACACAGGCUUCUUCGGUAUUGCCUUAUACAGAAGUUCAAAAAUCAAACGCGUCUUCAACCUCAGUAGUAACUACAGUAAGGAAAACGAACGAAAAGAUUUCAAUCUCUUCAGUAUUCUACACAACACCAGACAAUUCAAGAACAUCAAUUCCAACAUCUUCAGCAUUACCUUAUACAUACUCAGUCAGUACCAAUAUGACGAAGUUAACUACAAACGCUAGACCUGAUACAGAAGACGGAAACGAAGUAUCAAACGAAGACACGAUAGAGAUCGCCCUCAGAACGAGUACACUCAUUAUGAUGACUUAUACAAUUCGGGAGGCUAUUCACAGCCAUAUUAUACAGCCAUGUCCAGUGGAAAUGAAGUCAUAAAUGGGAUACAGUUGACAACUUUUCAUAACACGGACCUAUACGUGAUAAAUAAUGGUAUAGGCCAGGAAGAUGUGUCAUAUAUUACACCUCGUUAUGAAUCGACCUCGGAUACAUCUAACGCUGAAUAUACAUAUAUUGAUGAAACACGGUUAUCCAAAACAGCAGGGUAUACAUAGAACAGAACAGAAUAGAAUAGAACAGAACAAAAAACAGACAAAUAUAAAGUCCGUAAACUAUUGACUCAUCCAUAAGGGAAUAUAUUAUGUUCUGAUCAAGUGCUUUAGUUGAUACUGAUGAAAUCAUAUGAUGUCAUUUCAGAACAAAAGAAGAACAGAUUACAAAAUUGUUUAAGUCUUAUUUGGAUCUGUGUCGUUACAGUGAUCGAUUAAACAAAGUAAAAAGAAUGUCCUGUUAAUUGUACAUUAAACUGUGUUGUUAUCAUCUUUGGUCAUCUGACGUCCUGUAGUCUUAUUAUAGAGUUAAGUUUAAGCUGGUGUUAGUGUAAGGGGCAUUGGGGAAGCUGCUUAAGUCAUUACCGCUGAUGAACAAAAUUGAUCGAACUUAGCUUGCAGUUAUUUUAAUAGUUCUAUUGUCUAUUCUAACACUCAUUUAUUAAAUCACCAUCUGAACUGGUGAUCUGUUUUAAGACCAGCUGUUUUUACUGCAAUAUGGACCUUUACUUCAUAUGUCUCUGAGGGGGGAUGGGGGGAGUAUGUUAUAAUGUUGAGAGAACUUGUUACCCAACCCUUUUGCAGAUACCGUUGUUAAGUGUAUUUGAGAUGUACAUAAUGUAUAGAUUGCUAUGCAAUAAAAUAUGUUUAAACUAACUAUAUGUCUCUGUGAUCUUACAACUAUAUGUCUCUGUGAUCUCCCUUAAGGUCCGGUAUCCCUUCAGCAAUCGAUUCACUGGACAAGUCCGAUAUCAGUUAACCAUCAAAAUUAGUUUACAUAAUUUGAUAUGUGAUUAAUAAAUUUUAUAUUGAGUAUUCCUUAAUAGUUCUGGGCUAUUAAGUAAAAUAAAUAUAAAUGAAAUUUAUUUCUGAUAUCUUCGGACCUUGGACAAUAGUUCUGGCUACUGACCGGAGAAUCCUUCAAAAUGCUAAAAGGCUGCAAUUUUGUAGACAGGCAAAAAAUGGUAAUAAAGGCGUAUUCCCGAUAACCUAACCAUAAUUUGCUUCUAUACACACGAAAUAAAAUACGAACGUGUUGUUUACACACACUCUAGAACAAAUAUUAAUGAAUUUGAUGUAUAUCUUUCCUGUUUACGCUCCAUAUACCAAUGAUCUGCGUCAUACAACUAUAGAUAUAUACAUUUAUAAGCACAAUUAAUUAAAUUGUUACAAAAUGGGACACAUGUGUUUCUUAAUGAUAUGUCUGGCAAUAUAUACAAUGGGAGUAAGGUCACCAUGUUUGCUACUUUCAGCGUAUGUGCCGAAGGGAUACUUAGGCUGUUAUGAGGGCAAGCUUGCACGAAUCCUCGACAUUAAGUUAAAGAGCAGUGAAAGCAACAGUGGGGACGAAUGUAAAAUUCGAUGUAGUUCCAGAGAAUACAGAUAUGCUGGAACUGAG